UACGGAGGAUCCAAGCGUUAUCCGGAUUCACUGGGUUUAAAGGGUGCGUAGGUGGAAUGACAAGUCAGUGGUGAAAACCUGCAGCUUAACUGUAGAACUGCCAUUGAUACUGUUAUUCUUGAGUACAUUUGAUGUGAGUGGAAUGUGUCGUGUAGCGGUGAAAUGCUUAGAUAUGACACAGAACACCAAUUGCGAAGGCAGCUCACAAAACUGUAACUGACACUGAGGCACGAAAGCGUGGGUAGCAAACAGG
rnacentral:rRNA from 1 species